UACGUAGGGGGCAAGCGUUGUCCGGAAUCAUUGGGCGUAAAGCGCGCGUAGGCGGCUCGUUAAGUCUGCUGUGAAAGUCCAGGGCUCAACCCUGGGAUGCCGGUGGAUACUGUCAAGCUCGAGUCCGGAAGAGGCGAGUGGAAUUCCUGGUGUAGCGGUGAAAUGCGCAGAUAUCAGGAGGAACACCGAUGGCGAAGGCAGCUCGCUGGGACGGUACUGACGCUGAGGCGCGAAAGCGUGGGGAGCAAACAGG
rnacentral:rRNA from 1 species